UGCUCCGUUAGUUGCCUGACAUAACUU
rnacentral:piRNA from 1 species